UCCAGCAGCCGCGGUAAUACGUAGGUGGCAAGCGUUGUCCGGAUUUAUUGGGCGUAAAGCGAGCGCAGGCGGUUUUUUAAGUCUGAUGUGAAAGCCUUCGGCUCAACCGAAGAAGUGCAUCGGAAACUGGGAAACUUGAGUGCAGAAGAGGACAGUGGAACUCCAUGUGUAGCGGUGAAAUGCGUAGAUAUAUGGAAGAACACCAGUGGCGAAGGCGGCUGUCUGGUCUGUAACUGACGCUGAGGCUCGAAAGUAUGGGUAGCAAACAGGAUUAGAUACCCUGGUAGUCCAUACCGUAAACGAUGAAUGCUAAGUGUUGGAGGGUUUCCGCCCUUCAGUGCUGCAGCUAACGCAUUAAGCAUUCCGCCUGGGGAGUACGGCCGCAAGGCUGAAACUCAAAGGAAUUGACGGGGGCCCGCACAAGCGGUGGAGCAUGUGGUUUAAUUCGAAGCUACGCGAAGAACCUUACCAGGUCUUGACAUACUAUGCAAAUCUAAGAGAUUAGACGUUCCCUUCGGGGACAUGGAUACAGGUGGUGCAUGGUUGUCGUCAGCUCGUGUCGUGAGAUGUUGGGUUAAGUCCCGCAACGAGCGCAACCCUUAUUAUCAGUUGCCAGCAUUAAGUUGGGCACUCUGGUGAGACUGCCGGUGACAAACCGGAGGAAGGUGGGGAUGACGUCAAAUCAUCAUGCCCCUUAUGACCUGGGCUACACACGUGCUACAAUGGAUGGUACAACGAGUUGCGAACUCGCGAGAGUAAGCUAAUCUCUUAAAGCCAUUCUCAGUUCGGAUUGUAGGCUGCAACUCGCCUACAUGAAGUCGGAAUCGCUAGUAAUCGCGGAUCAGCAUGCCGCGGUGAAUACGUUCCCGGGCCUUGUACACACCGCCCGUCACACCAUGAGAGUUUGUAACACCCAAAGUCGGUGGGGUAACCUUUUAGGAACCAGCCGCCUAAGGUGGGACAGAUGAUUAGGGUGAAGUCGUAACAAGGU
rnacentral:rRNA from 2 species